UUUUUUUUCUCAACCAAAUUCCCGUUUUUGUAUACAUCGGCUGUAUAUCAGUGUAUAUCACUGUAUACCAGCUGCGUUUUAGCCGUUUUUCGACUUUUUCAGAGCUUGAAAAUUUAAUUUCCAGCAUUAUCUUUCUGCUUUCAACCUGUACACCAGCUAUUUGGACUCGAUAAAGAAAUGAGUGGACGUGGGCCUUUACAGCCCACCCGGAAUAUGGGGGAGAAGAUUGGAAUCCAAGAGGGCUUGGGUAGUAUCACAUGCCACAAAAAAAAAUGACAAGGAUUAGUAUUUGAAAAUAGUGUCUCAAAACUGUAACUAAAUAAAUAGAUUAAAAUUCUCAUGUAAUCGAUAUACCUCAAAGUAAGCUACGCUAAGCAAGAAUCUAGAUGACUUUAAUGAAAUGAACCAAAACAGAGGAGGAACUAAUUCCCUUGUACAACACAUGCUCAUCUAAAUGCACUUCCUAAACAACAACAAAAUAUACUAAAAUCUAAUUCGUGAAUUCACCUAACUUCAAAUACCGACAGGAAAUGCAUUUAGCAUACCGAAAAAUGAUCAACCCGAGCAUUUUGGACUCCUUUUCUACAUAUACUAUAUGAACAGACCACAAGCGCAACAAACUUAAAUUGCUAACUAUCCUACAGUCAAUAGCUUAAGUAGAGAACACUCCUAAUACCUUUUGGACUCUUAAGACAACAGUUAGGAACAAACAUAGCAGGUAGUAUUUAGCCCAAAAUAAAUAAUAAAAUAAGAAAAAAAAUAAUCUUACAGGAGUGAGAGGUCCCAACAAAUAUGACAAACAAGGGAACAUACAUGACUCAAAAUUUGAACAAAAUUAUUAUAAACAUUUAGCUUCAAGCUAGAAUAAGCAGACGGCAAAUACACUCAACAAAACUAUGAAAACAUGCUGAAAACGAGAAGGAAUAAAAAAAAAGAAGCAAAUAGACGGUUACACAUUCGCAAUACAAGAUAGGAUGACCAUAGAAUUUAAUCAAGAAGAAAAUAACCACUAAUGCUCACCGAACAGCAGCUACGACAACAUACAACUUCAUACUAAACGACUCCGAGAUUUUCCCUCAUCUCAAAGGAAGAACAGAGAACAUUAGCGGUAAUAAAGCGAAUAGAACCUUCGAUGUUCAGGAUGCUAAAGCGAAAAGAAAAUAGAUUCGAUGGUGUUCGAGAAGCAAGCUCAAGAAAAGAACCACAACAAAAUAAAGCUUUAACGAGUCUCCGGAGCUUGACUCCAUAUUAGGACUAACUGAUGGAAACAAUUAAGUGUACAUAUAAUAUGUUAAAAAUAUCAUCAAUCUCAUGAAAAAUACCAACGAACAGUCACAGAACAAAGGCUUCCAAACACUAGAAAAUUACUUUGAAACAGACGAGGAGAUGAGGAGAGUAUUAUAUAAGGACGGUACCUUUUUUCGGGCAGCGACCGAGACAGAACAAGCGAGGAGACAACAACGAGCUCUCGACUACAAGAGAUUCUUUUGGUGGAUUUUUAUAUAACUAUUACGCCUCCUUUCUCUGUAUCCUUUCAAUAUUCUCUCUUUGUUUCUUGUCAAAGAUUUCUAAC
rnacentral:lncRNA from 1 species